CGAGAACUUUGACAACAUGUUGAGUGUUUCAUUUCCAACCACUCAAUAUCUUAUUCUCUGAAACCCCAUUGUUUUGUUUUCUUUCUCUUCUUCUCCUUCUUCUUAUGCAUCUUUGCCAGAUUAAUCUAGGGUUAGGGUUAGGGUUUUUGAGACAGUGAUCACUGAUCCUUGUGGAGUUCACAGGAUUCACUGGAAAUUUCACCACUAUUGCAUGCACAGGGCAAGAACAAGUUCACUUACAACUGUGAUGGUCACACCUUCAAUUACCUUGUAGAGGAUGAAUUCACAAAAUUAAACUGAAGGAACAGAUGCAAUACUGCAUGGAUAAUCCUGAGGAGAUAAGCAAGAAUUCAAAAGUGAAAAGCUGAGAUUUUACUAAUAGAAAAGGCCUUGAUGAAAAACAGUUUUUUCAUGCAGUGGGGAGACACAGGCCUUUUACUGUCAGACUGAACAUUUCCGGCAGCAAGCAAUACAGAUCAGAAGGAAGAUGUGGUUCAAGAACAUGAAAAGAAAGCUGAUUAUGUUUGGUAUUAUCAUUGCUCUUAGCUUCAUUUAUACAAUUUUUUCCAUCAUAUUUUAGUAUGUAUGUUGAGGUUGCUCGAACGCCACUGUAUAUAUAUAUAUAUAUAUGGUUAAAGCACUUGCCAGCCUCGCCAUUGUGGGUUUAGUAUAAUAC